AUUGAACGCUGGCGGAAUGCUUUACACAUGCAAGUCGAACGGUAGAGGGGGCGACCCCUCGAGAGUGGCGAACGGGUGAGUAAUAUAUCGGAACGUGCCCAGUCGUGGGGGAUAACGUAGCGAAAGUUACGCUAAUACCGCAUACGAUCUAAGGAUGAAAGCGGGGGAUCGCAAGACCUCGCGCGAUUGGAGCGGCCGAUAUCAGAUUAGGUAGUUGGUGGGGUAAAGGCUCACCAAGCCAACGAUCUGUAGCUGGUCUGAGAGGACGACCAGCCACACUGGGGCUGAGACACGGUCCAGACUCCUACGGGAGGCAGCAGUGGGGAAUUUUGGACAAUGGACGCAAGUCUGAUCCAGCCAUUCCGCGUGCAGGAUGAAGGCCCUCGGGUUGUAAACUGCUUUUGUACGGAACGAAAAGGUCUCUCUUAAUACGGGGGACUCAUGACGGUACCGUAAGAAUAAGCACCGGCUAACUACGUGCCAGCAGCCGCCGUAA
rnacentral:rRNA from 1 species